rnacentral:lncRNA from 1 species
AUCCCUCCCAGCAUCAGAGUCUUUUCCAAUGAGUCAACUCUUCACAUGAGGUGGCCAGAGUAUUGGAGUUUCAGCUUUAGCAUCAGUCCUUCCAAAGAACACCCAGGACUGAUCUCCUUUAGGAUGGACUGGUUGGAUCUCCUUGCAGUCCAAGGGACUCUCAAGAGUCUUCUCCAACACCCAUGAACAGUAUGAAAAGAGACACCCUGGAGAUGACUUAAUACCUGAAUGGGGUGGCUGUGCUUGACAAAAUCACACUAUGGCAAAUGGACGAUGCUGCAGGUAGUAUUGGCAGGAUGUUAAUGAAAAUGGAAGGAAAGCAGUGCCUACUGUAUUCUGGGCUACAUCCAUGACUUGGGAUGCUAUCCCAUCCCUGGAGGCUGAGCAGGUGUGGGUCCCAAUUGUGAACUUGUGUGGGGUAGACACAACCUGGCAAGGUUCCCUUCAUUGAACCGUUUUUAAAGUUUUCUUGUGUGCUCCGUCUGGCUGGGACAAUAGUCCCACAUAGAAUCAAGGACCUGAGGAAUUUCAUGGCAAAAUUCAGCUGGCCUCAAUCUCUGCUGGAGCUGGGGAUUCCAGCUCAAGCCUUCUCUUCCUUGGGAGUGCUGCCUCCUAGCACCUAAGCAGCCUCUGCAGUGUACUGUGGAUACUGAAGGGAUUACUCUGCAUGGUUCCUUUGUGUGUGAAGCCUUAGAGGGAAAGAGUGGUGAGGCUCAAGAUCUUUCCUCUUUUCCCAAAUUUCACUCUGUUUCACAGCCCAGGAAGCCAACUUGCCUUCAGACUUUGCUUCCCGCCAGGAACUAAAGGGUCUCAUGAAAAGUGCUGCCGCCUUGUGGACAUUUUUGUAACUACAACUUGAUCACCCUUGCACACGGGCACCUCAAUUCACAAGGCCUGGGGUUCCGAUAAUGACAGCUGCCCUCAAGAAAUGUCCUGUGGCUGGCACCUGAGAAAUAAAUUCCCAACAGAGCCGACGUUCAGGAAGCCUACCGCCAAAGGCACCUCAAUUCACAAGGCCUGGGGUUCCAAUAAUGACAGCUGUCCUCAAGAAAUAUCCUAUGACUGGCACUUGAGAAAUAAAUUCCCAACACGGCUGACAUUCAGGAAGCCAACUGCCAAAGGUAAAUUGUCCUCACACCCUUUAAGUGGGGGGAGGAAAACUCCCCUCUCAAACAAGUCCCUCAAAGCUGCAUGACAAUCAAAUGGCGAAUAGAAAAUUAAGUGGCAACACUUAACGGGCCAAUGACAGAAGUCUACCCACAAUAAAUACAGGAGAGAGUCUGGAGGAAAAAGAACC